rnacentral:lncRNA from 1 species
GGGACUGCUGCCACACCCGCUCCUCACAUAUGAGAGCGCAGAGGCUUACGGGUGCUCUUUCACCCUUGGGAGGUGCCAUGGAGUGUGUGACCCCCCAAAUGCACAGCCUAGAACUGAUCUGAGUGAGACCUAAUUUAUAAAUCAAGCAUGUAGAAGGUGAUCAGGUCAUGAGGGUAAAGCCUCAAUCAACAAGACUAGUGAUGUCAGAAGAAGCCAGAAUGGAUGCCCUUACCCAAACCAAACUAUGCCUGCACCCUGACCCCAAACCUGUAGCUUGCAGAACUGUGAGGAAUGAAGGGUUGUUGUUUUAGCUACCCAGUGGACAGUGACUCAGAUGGGAGGGGAACAGAGACGGGAGACAGAGACAGGGAGAAGAAAGGUGGUUUUAUGUUUGUUCGCUGGGCUGGUGAUUGAGCCCACAGCCUCCCACAUCCUAAACAAAUGUUCGUUCACUGAGCUAAAUCCCCAGCAUGAUUUGUGUCAGUGAGAAGAGGCUCCAUCUCUGCAGGUCAACGGAAGUCUUCUGUUAUUAUGGGCCAAGACUUAGUUACGGGAAGAGGCUGUGGGAGAGGAGGGUGCGGAGAGGAAAACAGAAAGGUUUGGGGGAAGUUGGAAAGGUAUGUCCAACUUGAGCGUAUGCAUAGGGCAGUGCGGGAGGUUGAUGAUGAAGAUCCCUGUGGAGCUACGGCCUAAUUGUAAAACUCACACUGGCCUCAAACAUGCAAUCCUCCGGCCUCAGCUUCCUGGGUGCUGGGGAUAAAACCCAGUAGGGCAAACACUCCAGCCACAUUCCCAGCAUCCUAUGUAUGUGUGGUCUUAAUCUUUCACUCAACUAAAUCGUAGCUAAAUCAAGUUUCAAAUGGCUUUCGGAUUCUAAGACACCAUGUAGAACCUUUUAGAAAUGAAAAUUCACGGUGCUGGAGAGGCGGUUUAGUGGUUAGGAGCACACGGUGCUCUGGCAGCAAAUCUGAGGUUUGAGCGCUGAGCGUAAGCUUCAACUGAAGAAGAAAGCCCCAGCAACUGAGCAGAGUCGUGGCCGUGGCUGGGGGAAGCCCCUAUUGAGGAUGCUCGGGCUGCAGAGGCGUCCACAGGAGACCGCAAUCAUUGGCGCAAGCCCUGGAAACUCAUCAACAAUGAGAACAGGAACCUGAGCUGAAGGAUUUGUGACAACGUGGGCAGAACAGAACAGUGAGAAUUUGGGUGGACAGAUUUCAUAAGAAACUAUUAAGCAAGAGGUGUCUGACUAAGCUGGCAACCCAGCCCCAGAAACAGAACAGACCUGGCGACCGUCCUAGGAGGCAGGCUGGAGGCAGGGAGUCAGCUGGAUCCAAAUCGGGAACAGAGUGGGGGAGGGGCGGCGAGCAGAGCCCGGAAGACCCCAAGGUCCACGGGACAUUUUGUCGUCAAGUCUUGGAGUUAAGUGGCCUAGUUCAUUACACUUACUUCUGACUGGAGGCAAGGAACAGCUUUGCUGAUGGUUGCAAGGGGGCAAGAAGAAAAUAAUUGACCAAUAAUUCACCUAAGUGAGCCAAGCAGGCACUAAAAGGCAAAGUGCCAUUCAGCCGCUCAGCAUCCAGUCUGCUGCGGGGAACGACACAAGCUGAAAGUUUUCACUGAUGCCCCAGGAAAACACGGAGCCCCUGGCUCACUCUAUUGAAAUCCUGGUUAAUGCUUUUGUGAGCAAGAAGACUGCGGGAAGCAGCCUGCAAACAGCUAUCAUGGGAAGCAGAGAUGCUCGCAGGGAGUAGGAACAGGUGGAGACUUGGGAGUUGGGGCUACCAGGUCCAGAUGAAGAACCAUGGUGGAUUCGAACCUUCCCCUGUUCAUGCCUAGCUCUUCCCGGGUCUUUUCUAAGGUUCCUUUUCCUGUUAAUUCACACCUAGUUCAGGGCAAACAGUUAAGGGUUGAGGAGGGGGGGGGGGAGUGCUCACUCUAUAGGCUUGGGGGAGCAACCUGCUCUGUGCGAUAAUCAUUUGUCUAGGGCAGAUAUUUGCAAACCUCUGCUGAGCAUCGGGACCUGAACUAGAAGACACCUGCAGUAGCUGCCGCUUCUCCACCCGCCUUACACACCACAGAACGUCAUUGGCGCUCUGAGUUUCAAUUAAUGGGCUGAAUGGAUGACCUUUG